rnacentral:tRNA from 1 species
GGUGGGGUUCCCGAGCGGCCAAAGGGAGCAGACUGUAAAUCUGCCGUCAUCGACUUCGAAGGUUCGAAUCCUUCCUGCACCACCA